rnacentral:rRNA from 1 species
GACGAACGCUGGCGGCGUGCUUAACACAUGCAAGUCGAACGAAGAGCGAUGGAAGCUUGCUUCUAUCAAUCUUAGUGGCGCACGGGUGAGUAACGCGUAAUCAACCUGCCCUUCAGAGGGGGACAACAGUUGGAAACGACUGCUAAUGCCGCAUACGAUCUGACCUCGGCAUCGAGGAUAGAUGAAAGGUGGCCUCUAUUUAUAAGCUAUCACUGAAGGAGGGGAUUGCGUCUGAUUAGCUAGUUGGAGGGGUAACGGCCCACCAAGGCGAUGAUCAGUAGCCGGUCUGAGAGGAUGAACGGCCACAUUGGGACUGAGACACGGCCCAGACUCCUACGGGAGGCAGCAGUGGGGAAUCUUCCGCAAUGGACGAAAGUCUGACGGAGCAACGCCGCGUGAGUGAUGACGGCCUUCGGGUUGUAAAGCUCUGUUAAUCGGGACGAAAGGCCUUCUUGCGAAUAGUUAGAAGGAUUGACGGUACCGGAAUAGAAAGCCACGGCUAACUACGUG